rnacentral:rRNA from 1 species
UACGUAGGGUGCAAGCGUUAAUCGGAAUUACUGGGCGUAAAGCGUGCGCAGGCGGUUCGCUAAGACCGAUGUGAAAUCCCCGGGCUUAACCUGGGAACUGCAUUUGUGACUGCAUGGCUGGAGUGCGGCAGAGGGGGAUGGAAUUCCGCGUGUAGCAGUGAAAUGCGUAGAUAUGCGGAGGAACACCGAUGGCGAAGGCAAUCCCCUGGGCCUGCACUGACGCUCAUGCACGAAAGCGUGGGGAGCAAACAGG